rnacentral:rRNA from 1 species
UGUGACCUACGGGAGGCAGCAGAGGGGGAUAUUGCACAAUGGGGGAAACCCUGAUGCAGCGACGCCGCGUGGGCGAAGAAGUAUUUCGGUAUGUAAAGCCCUAUCAGCAGGGAAGAAGACAUGACGGUACCUGAGUAAGAAGCACCGGCUAAAUACGUGCCAGCAGCCGCGGUAAUACGUAUGGUGCAAGCGUUAUCCGGAUUUACUGGGUGUAAAGGGAGCGCAGGCGGCACGGCAAGCCUGAUGUGAAAGCCCGCGGCCCAACCGCAGGACUGCAUUGGGAACUGACGGGCUGGAGUGCCGUG